UACGAAGGGAGCUAGCGUUGUUCGGAAUUACUGGGCGUAAAGCGCGUGUAGGCGGUUAUGCAAGUCGGGUGUGAAAGCCCGGAGCUCAACUCCGGAAGUGCAUUCGAUACUGCGUAGCUAGAGUACUGGAGAGGAUGGUGGAACUCUCGGUGUAGAGGUGAAAUUCGUAGAUAUCGAGAAGAACACCGGUGGCGAAGGCGGCCAUCUGGACAGAUACUGACGCUGAGACGCGAAAGCGUGGGGAGCAAACAGG
rnacentral:rRNA from 1 species